GGUGGUGUAGUUCAGGAAAGAUCGUUCGCUUCGCAUGCGAAAUGUCCGGGUUCAAAUCCCCGCACCUCCA
rnacentral:tRNA from 1 species